AUACGGAGGACGCGAGCGUUAUCCGGAUUCAUUGGGUUUAAAGGGAGCGCAGGCGGAGAUGCAAGCGUGACGUCAAAUUUCGGGGCUCAACCCCGUCUCGCGUCGCGAACUGCGUCCCUUGGUUGCGGGAAGGGGAGGCGGAACUCGUGGUGUAGCGGUGAAAUGCAUAGAUAUCACGAAGAACUCCGAUCGCGAAGGCAGCCUUCCGGCCCGUCAACGACGCUCAUGCUCGAAGGUGCGGGUAUCAAACAGGAUUAGAUACCCUGGUAGUCCGCACAGUAAACGAUGGACACCCGCGGUUUGGCCUAUAUGGCUGAGCCGCCAAGCGAAAGCGUUAAGUGUCCCACCUGGGGAGUACGCCGGCAACGGUGAAACUUAAAGGAAUUGGCGGGG
rnacentral:rRNA from 1 species